rnacentral:rRNA from 1 species
CAGGGAUUGCCCUAGUAACGGCGAGUGAAGCGGCAACAGCUCAAAUUUGAAAUCUGGCCCUCGGGUCCGAAUUGUAAUUUGUAGAGGAUGCUUUUGGUCAGGUGCCUUCCGAGUUCCCUGGAACGGGACGCCUUAGAGGGUGAGAGCCCCGUACGGUUGGACGCCGAGCCUCUGUAAAGCUCCUUCGACGAGUCGAGUAGUUUGGGAAUGCUGCUCUAAAUGGGAGGUAAAUUUCUUCUAAAGCUAAAUAUUGGCCAGAGACCGAUAGCGCACAAGUAGAGUGAUCGAAAGAUGAAAAGUACUUUGAAAAGAGGGUUAAACAGCACGUGAAAUUGUUGAAAGGGAAGCGUUUAUGACCAGACUUUUUCUAGGCGGAUCAUCCGGUGUUCUCACCGGUGCACUUUGUCUAGUUUAGGCCAGCAUCGGUUUUCAUAGGGGGAUAAAAUCGGUGGGAAUGUGGCUCCCUCGGGAGUGUUAUAGCCCGCCGAAUAAUACCCUUACGGGGACCGAGGUUCGCGCUCUGCAAGGAUGCUGGCGUAAUGGUCAUCAACGACCCGUCUUGAAACACGGACCAAGGAGUCGAACAUUUGUGCGAGUGUUUGGGUGUUAAACCCUCACGCGUAAUGAAAGUGAACGGAGGUGAGAGCUCCUAGGGGUGCAUCAUCGACCGAUCCUGAAGUUUACGGAUGGAUUUGAGUAAGAGCAUAACUGUUCGGACCCGAAAGAUGGUGAACUAUGCGUGGAUAGGGUGAAGCCAGAGGAAACUCUGGUGGAGGCUCGCAGCGGUUCUGACGUGCAAAUCGAUCGUCAAAUCUGCGCAUGGGGGCGAAAGA